GCAUAACGCGAAGAACCUUACCUACACUUGACAUGCCUCUUGGGACUUUCAGAGAUGAUUGUUUUCGGUUCGGCCGGGGAGUGCACAGGUGCUGCAUGGCUGUCGUCAGCUCGUGUCGUGAGAUGUUGGGUUAAGUCCCGCAACGAGCGCAACCCUUAUCGUAUGUUGCCAGCAUUUAGUUGAGCACUCAUGCGAGACUGCCGGUGAUAAGCCGGAGGAAGGCGGGGACGACGUCAAGUCAUCAUGGCCCUUACGUGUAGGGCUACAAACGUGCUACAAUGGCGUUAACAAUGGGCAGCGAGGCAGCGAUGCCAAGCUAAUCCUUAAAUAACGUCUCAGCUCGGAUUGUACUCUGCAACUCGAGUACAUGAAGUUGGAAUCGCUAGUAAUCGCAAAUCAGCAUGUUGCGGUGAGUACGUUCCCGGGUCUUGUACACACCG
rnacentral:rRNA from 1 species